CCUACGGGAGGCAGCAGUGGGGAAUUUUGGACAAUGGGCGCAAGCCUGAUCCAGCAAUGCCGCGUGAGUGAAGAAGGCCUUCGGGUUGUAAAGCUCUUUUGUCAGGGAAGAAACGGUGGGGGCUAAUAUCUCCUACUAAUGACGGUACCUGAAGAAUAAGCACCGGCUAACUACGUGCCAGCAGCCGCGGUAAUACGUAGGGUGCAAGCGUUAAUCGGAAUUACUGGGCGUAAAGCGUGCGCAGGCGGUUUUGUAAGUCUGUCGUGAAAGCCCCGGGCUCAACCUGGGAAUUGCGAUGGAGACUGCAAGGCUUGAAUCUGGCAGAGGGGGGUAGAAUUCCACGUGUAGCAGUGAAAUGCGUAGAGAUGUGGAGGAACACCGAUGGCGAAGGCAGCCCCCUGGGUCAAGAUUGACGCUCAUGCACGAAAGCGUGGGGAGCAAACAGGAUUAGAUACCCUGGUAGUCCACGCCCUAAACGAUGUCUACUAGUUGUCGGGUUUUAAUUAACUUGGUAACGCAGCUAACGCGUGAAGUAGACCGCCGUGGGGAAGUACGGUCGCAAGAUUAAAACUCAAAUAGAGUAGUAGCGUGAGAGNGACGACGACGACGACGAGGAGGAGG
rnacentral:rRNA from 1 species